CCGCAAGGAAUGUGAUGAAUCAUAGUAAUCGAACGAAUCGCAGGUACAUGCGAUAAAUCAUUCAAGUUUCUGCCCUAUCAGCUUUGGAUGGUAGUGUAUUGGACUACCAUGGCAGUCACGGGUAACGGAGAAUUAGGGUUCGAUUCCGGAGAGGGAGCCUGAGAAACGGCUACCACAUCUACGGAAGGCAGCAGGCGCGAAAAUUGCCCAAUCCUGACACGGGGAGGCAGUGACAAGAAAUAACAACUCUAGGUUUUCUUAGAAGUGUAAUGAGGAUAAUUUACAAACCUUACCGAAUGCAAUUGGAGGGCAAGUCUGGUGCCAGCAGCCGCGGUAAUUCCAGCUCCAAUAGCGUAUAUUAAAGUUGUUGCAGUUAAAAAGCUCGUAGUUGAAGUUCUGAUUGUUCGGGUUUCUAGACAUUAGUCGGAGAUACUGACAGUCAUCCGCUUGCAAACAUAUGUUCGACCUUAAUCAGUUGGCUAUGUGAGUAAGCAUUUUACCUUGAGAAAAACAGAGUGUUCCAGGCAGGUUUGUCCGGAAUGCAUUAGCAUGGAAUAAUAGAAUAUGACUGAAGUCUAUUUAUUGGUUACAGGCUUUAGUAAUGAUUAAUAGGAACAGUCGGGGGCAUUCGUACUCAGCAGUCAGAGGUGAAAUUCUAAGAUUUGCUGAAGACGAACUAAUGCGAAAGCAUUUGCCAAGGAUGUUUUCAUUAAUCAAGAACGAAAGUUAGGGGAUCAAAGACGAUCAGAUACCGUCCUAGUCUUAACUAUAAACCAUACCGACUCGGAUUCAGAUGAAUCAAAAUGUUCAUUUGGGACCGUAGGAGAAAUCAAAGUCUUUGGGUUCUGGGGGGAGUAUGGUCGCAAGGCUGAAACUUAAAGGAAUUGACGGUUUUGCACCACCAUGGAGUGGAGUUUGCGGCUUAAUUUGACAACACUGGGAAACUCAUCAGGGCAAGAAGAUUUUAGGAUUGACAGAUUGAGAGUUCUUUCUUGAUUGGUCUAGUGGUGGUGCAUGGCCGUUCUUAGUUGGUGGAGUGAUUUGUCUGGUUAAUUCCGUUAACGAACGAGACCUUAACCUGCUAACUAGUGUCUCCAUCUCAAAUGGAGAGCACUUCUUAGAGGGACUAUGUGAUGUAAUCACAUGGAAGUUUGAGGCAAUAACAGGUCUGUGAUGCCCUUAGAUGUCCUGAGCUGCACGCGUACUACAAUGGCACU
rnacentral:rRNA from 1 species